rnacentral:rRNA from 1 species
UACGGGGGGGGCAAGCGUUGUUCGGAAUUACUGGGCGUAAAGGCUCGUAGGCGGCCAACUAAGUCAGACGUGAAAUCCCUCGGCUUAACCGGGGAACUGCGUCUGAUACUGGAUGGCUUGAGUUUGGGAGAGGGAUGCGGAAUUCCAGGUGUAGCGGUGAAAUGCGUAGAUAUCUGGAGGAACACCGGUGGCGAGGCGGCAUCCUGGACCAACACUGACGCUGAGGAGCGAAAGCCAGGGGAGCAAACGGG